ACUGUGGUAAGACCUCUAGUUGGAGAUCCUUCCCUUGUGAUGUUUUCCUCGUGAGCCUAACUCUUCUGAGACAGUGAAACCUCUGUAAAUCUACCCUUGGGUCCUGUUUCUUCCUUGGUCACAGCGCAUCCCAAGUCAUCUCUGUGACAGACCUUCCUUAAUGGGGAAAUCUCCAGCUGCAAAUUCAUGUAGGUGGCUUUUGGAGCUCCAUCAAAGAGUGACCCAUCUUGAUGCUGCUCAACAUGCAAGCUGCCGCUGAAUCACAGCCACAGCACUACAGUACUGUUUGGUGCUGGGCCUUGGGGCAAUGAAUGUGGAAUAACAGAAGUGGUAUCUGGUAGCUAAAUGCACCUGCUGUAUGUCACCUAGUUUAUAAUACUUUUGUGUUACUUUUGUGCACUGAAAAUGUAAGAUGGCAUUUAAUUGCUAGUAGAACUGAGAUCAUUGUGGCAGAGCUGGACUGAAAAGAAAACAGGUCCAGAAAUGUGAUUCAUUGGCUGCAAAAUCAAGUAGCAGAAAGAUCAGAAUUGAAGAAUGCAAAUGGAAGCUUUCCCUGCUCAUCACUAAAACUUAAAAGCAUUACAAUAAGUAACAUGGUUGUCAUGGUGACUGAGUGUUUGUUUAUGCUAAAAUGCAUCAGACAAAGCUGGAAUGUUUUUAAUUUAAAGCUCAGAUGACAGGGAAUUGAGUAUUGCAAGCAAGAACAGGAAUAUAUUCUUCGUAUAUACAAUACAAGUAAUUACUUUUCCUAUGAAAAUUCCUUUCACAACUCACUUUUUUUCUGCCUCUUUCUUCAUUGUAAUUCUGAAUAUGUUUGUCUUUUGAUAAUGGAGGGAGACAGCAAAUUAGGUUUGAAGGAAAGUGAAAAUGAGCACCACUCAUAAGCAGACUCUUGGUAGUAAACAGACAUUAUGGUUUCUUAUUCUUUUUUAAAAAAGAAUAAUCCUUAAAUCUGACUGCUGUACUAUACAUUGUGUGGAGCUGGAACUUGCAAAUACAUAACAAGUCAGUCAGAUAGUAUGCUGCAUAGAAUUAGUUUAGCAUUUUUUCUCCCGAAAUUGACAGAUGACUCAAUUUUCUGGGCUCCAUAUUCUAAAAUUCAGUUUUAUUUGCCUAAAAAUAGCACACAGUAAAACAACAACAAACACUAAACCUCCAGUACCAGAGUAAGAAAACCUAAUGAAAUAUUCAAUUUGCUGCUAUUUAAAUUGAUGGGAAAAUCCUGUUAAGGUUAGAAGUGUCCAAUAGGCUGUAAGAUAGUUUGUUAUAUGAUAAUAAAUUUGUUUUGUGUAAAUUACUCUUUCUGUAAUAGAGCCCACAUUUUCAAGCAUUUCUUUGAAGCCAUCGGGGAACAACUCUCCAUCUUGAACCAGUGACUUCAGUGCCUUAGGGCUACACUGAAAGCUAAUGAACAACAGCAUCCUCACCUACAGCUAUGUACUUCCAGACAGUAUUUCAUGUCAAUGGGAAAAUAUCCAAUGGACUUUCACAGGAGAUGUUCAGAAGGUCUGGAGCACAGAGCUCAAUUGUUUAAGGAUUGGAAGAAGGAGGUUUUUAGAAAGCCUGAAAGUGAUCAUACCUUCACUCUCCAUCUCUGUCUGUUUUUAAGGAUAACAAAUGUGGUAACUGGAGGUGGAUGUCUGAUUUGCAUGCAAUGACUGCCAGUUUGCAGGGAGCUUUUUGCUGUCACUGGUGGGAAGAUAACGUUUAUUUUCAUUUAAUUGUAUUUUUGUGGGCAUAUCAUUAUGCCUCGUGAUUUUAAAUGAACCAGCAAAAUUUAACUAGUAACAAUCAUUAUAGUUUAAUACUCAUAGAUUUCAGUGAAAUGAGUGGUAAGAUACGUAUUAACUUUAAUAGCCACAAGACCAGACUUUAAUGGUACAUGACAUCACCUAAGAGUCUUUUAAAGAUAUUGCUUUAGAAUGAAAGAGGAAAAGUGUUUAAAGUUCUCUUCUUGUACAAGACAAAAGAUGUGGUUUUAUGUUAAGUUUGAAAAAAUUAUCACAUGACUUUGUAAAAUAAUUCAACUUAAUAGAUAAUCAGAUUUGCAGAUUCUCAUAUGGAUUACCAAACUAGUAACUACUUUCAUGGCAUUAUUACUAAAAAAAAGAAUUAUUAUUUGCAAAUCACAUAAAAAUAAGUAGAAGAAAUUUGAGAAGUCACUGUAGUGCACUGGGGUGAGAAGCAGUAGUAACUAUGUCAAAAACACUUGAAUGCGGAAGAUUCAACAUUUCAUAGAGGUUUUUUGUUUGUUUGUUUGUUUGUUUGUUUUUUAAGUAAUAAAGUCCUCCACUUUCCU
rnacentral:lncRNA from 1 species